GGUCCCUGAGGAAGCUCGAGAACUUGAAAGGCAACUCGGACAGGUCAGUAAGGAGAAGAAUGAAGCUGUAAGAGGCCAAGACUUUGAGAAGGCUCGUUCUCACCGUCACCGACAAAUAUAGGUUAGAGCCGAGAUAGCUGCUGUUUUAGCGACAGGCAAAGAAGUGAACAAAGCUGAGACCGAAGCUGGCCAAGAAGGAGGAAGUCGUGAAAGCCAUUAGCAGAGCCAUCAGACGUCCACAUGUUGGUCUCAACUUUUGCGAACCGCCCCAUAGCAAGUUUCAUCUUCUCAGAGGAAGCAAUUACCCGUCUCGACGUGAGUGAGUUCAUGGAACGUCACAAUAUUUUAAAAGGUCAAUAAAGUUACACGGAAGGUGGUCAGCUCGGGAGGGCUCUUUGGACGUUUCUGCACAGUCUUGCUGCGCAGGUUGCCCUCUGUUCAGUAAUUUACAGUGAUAUAGAGACCACAUCAGAAGUUUCUUUAUUGUCAUCUGUAUCCAGAAAGACAAAACAGGGAGCAAAAGAAGGAUGUUUAAGAACUGAUGGAGAUACCUUGUAGAGAAUAUGCGCUCAUCACUUCGAACUUCCUCCUGGGAUGAAUCUCAGGAGGAGUUCUCACAGUGGCUUUGCCAUGUACACAACACCGUAAAUAGCAGGUUUAUGGAGGUGGAGUAACCGAAGUACCAGUAACCAAUCUAGAGAAAAACACAACAACUUACGGAACAAAGCACUUCUAAUACGUGUCAAAUCCGAUUUUAUCAUCCUCUCUUUUCCGGUUCACCAUUUGAGAGAGACGAUGUAGAAGUGAUGCUUCUGUGACGGAAAGACUGAGCAAAAGGGGGAAGGAUGAGAUUGAUUUUUACCUGAUUUUUUUGGAGGUAAUGAUUUAUUUUCGGGUAGUAAUUAUUGAUUGACAAUAUAUGGUUAGCUAAAAUUUAGGAAAGUAGUUAAUAUU